rnacentral:RNase_P_RNA from 1 species
AUGGUAUAGCAACGGCAGCUUGCAUUCGCAAGAGGAAAGUCCGGGCUGCAGUGAGACAGGGUUCCAUCUAACGGAUGGCCGUGGUAACACGAGGGAAAGUGCAACAGAAAACGUACCGCCUGCGUUUCUUUAGAAAUUUUCUAAAGAAAGGGCAGGUAAGGGUGAAAAGGCGGGGUAAGAGCCCACCAGUCUUGCUAGCAAUAGCAGGAGCUUGAAAACCCAACCCGCAGCAAGAAGCAAUUGGUUACAGUCUCACAAUGUAAUGCUUCGCUAAAGGCUUAUAGCAAUAUAAGCAUUAGAUGAAUUGCCGUUUAAAUACAGAACCCGGCUUAUAGCUGUGCCAUACUC